rnacentral:rRNA from 1 species
GAUAAACGCUGGCGGCGUGCCUAACACAUGCAAGUCGAACGAUCCCGCAAGGGAGAGUGGCGGAAGGGUGAGUAACACGUGGGAAUCUACCUCCUCGCAGGGAACAACCUCUCGAAAGAGAGGCUAAUACCCAAAAGGGUCAGAAAUGAUCAGAGUCGAAAGGCGUGAGGAGAGGAGCCCGCGGCCCAUCAGCUAGUUGGUGAGGUAAUGGCUUACCAAGGCUACGACGGGUAGGGGAUCUGAGAGGAUGUCCCCCACACUGGAACUGAAACACGGUCCAGACGCCUACGGGUGGCAGCAGUGAGGAAUAUUGGACAAAUGGGGCGAAAGCCCGAUCCAGCAACGCCGCGUGGAGGAUGAAGGCCUUCGGUCGGUAAACUCUUUAGAGGGAGACGAGAAAGGACGGGU